rnacentral:rRNA from 1 species
UACGUAGGGACCAAGCGUUGUUCGGAUUUACUGGGCGUAAAGGGCGCGUAGGCGGCAUGACAAGUCACUUGUGAAAUCCCCGGGCUUAACUCGGAACGGUCAAGUGAUACUGUCGCGCUAGAGUGCGGAAGGGGCAAUCAGAAUUCUUGGUGUAGCGGUGAAAUGCGUAGAUAUCAAGAGGAAUACCUGAGGUGAAGACGGGUUGCUAGGCCGACACUGACGCUGAAGCGCGAAAGCCAGGGGAGCAAACGGG